UACGAAGGGGGCUAGCGUUGCUCGGAAUCACUGGGCGUAAAGCGCACGUAGGCGGAUUGUUAAGUCAGGGGUGAAAUCCUGGAGCUCAACUCCAGAACUGCCUUUGAUACUGGCGAUCUCGAGUCCGGGAGAGGUGAGUGGAACUGCGAGUGUAGAGGUGAAAUUCGUAGAUAUUCGCAAGAACACCAGUGGCGAAGGCGGCUCACUGGCCCGGUACUCGGACGCUGAGGUGCGAAAGCGUGGGGA
rnacentral:rRNA from 1 species